AAGAUAUUUCAUGGAGGAAAUACAGAUGGGCAACAGGCUCAUGAAAAGAUGUCCCACAUCACUAAGGAUCAGGAAAAUGCAAAUAAAAACCACAAUGAGAUAUCACCUCA